rfam:Physcomitrella patens subsp. patens PHYPAscaffold_216 genomic scaffold, whole genome shotgun sequence.
UAAGAGGCUUUUAUAAAAGCCACGUUUGGAUACCUCAAAUUAUAAU